GUUAGAAAAAUUCAAAUUUAAAUCUUCCUCAAAAUAACGUUAAAACCUCAAACGAUGGAUGAAAAAUGUGCUUUAGGAGCUGAACUAUAUUAAUUGAUACUUUUGGAAGCAAACUAAACGGUUUUAGGUAAGAUUUCCACCAACAAAAAAUCUCUGUCAAAAUUUCAAGGUUAUGUUGUCUCGGUGAACUAAACGAUGGUUAAUUUUAUCACAACAUACAUUGGAGUACAUGCCAAAUUUCAUCAAUGAGCAAAGUUAGAAAAAUUCAAUUUUAAAUUAACGAUUUCUUCUUCAAAAUAACGUUAUAACAUCAAAGGAUGGAUGAAAAAUGUGCUUUAGGAGCUGAACUAUAUUAAUUGAUACUUUUGGAAGCAAACUAAACGGUUUUAGAUAAGAUUUCCACCAAUAAAAAUCUGUCAAAAUUUCAAGGUUAUGUUCUCUCGACGUACAUUGGAGUACACGCCAAAUUUCAUCAAUGAGUAAAGUUAGAAAAAUUCAAUUUUAAAUCAACGAUUUCUUCAAAAUAACGUUAAAACAUCAAAGGAUGGAUGAAAAAUGUGCUUUAGGAGCUGAAUUAUAUUAAUUGACACUUUUGGAAGCAAACUAAACGGAUUUAGAUAAGAUUUCCACCAAUAAAGAAUCUGUCAAAAUUUCAAGGUUAUGUUCUCUCGUUUCUAAAUGAGACGUGAUUUCGACGUCGUCAUGAAACGAUUCAG